rnacentral:snRNA from 1 species
GUGGGCCCUCCUCAGCACAUAUGCUAAAUUGGAAGAUCGGCAUGGCCCCUGCUCAAGAGCCACAUGAAAAUUUGUAAAGUGUUCUAUAUUUCU